GAAGAACGUCGUCCAUCGGUCGUACCUACCUCUCCUCCGGGAGUGGCAGAGCACGCUCCGACACCUGAUAGCGAACGGUCGAAGUCCCUUCCCGGGACCUCAAGGACUCAGGUCCUCGAACCAUCCCGGGGAGACUCCACAACCGUAGCCCCCUCGGCGAAACAUCGAUCGAGGGAGGGAUCGCUCGUCGAUCCUUCCGAGAAACGAGAAUAACCUAGUCGACUACUUUCGACGACGGAUACCUCGGUUCCCACGCCGAUGAAGAGCGCGGCGAAACGCGAUAUGUCGUGCGAAUCGCAGAAUUCGGCGAAUCACGCAAUCCUCGAACGCAUCCGGCGCUCUCGGGUCUUCCCGGGAGCAUGCCCGUCUGAGCGUCGUUCCCAAAAAUCCCAACCCGACACGAUUAAAACCGUGGAAGGACGGGUGAUCGGGAGUCUGCGGAAACGCAGUCUCCUGGGAACGAGGCGCACCACUGGAAGCCCCAUCCGACGAUGAGGGAUCAGGUGCAAAGCUUCCGUCGAGAGCGCCUCCGGGUGCAACUCACAUCGGGAGUCGCAGCCCUGAACCAUUCAACUCGCGUCGACCUUGGGAUCAGCUUCCGGCUGGACAGACGCCGUCCGUGGUCCGUGAGACCAGGGUCGGAGGAGUAAAAUCCUCCCCUCUCUAACCACGACCUCAGAUCGGGCAAGAUUACCCGCUGAACUUAAGCAUAU
rnacentral:misc_RNA from 1 species